GAAGAAAAUGAAAUAAAGUAAGUAAAUGAGAAGUAUACGUGUGAAUCUGCCAGUUUUUCAUGCAUAGAGUGUAUCAUAAUCAUCUAACAAUUUGUGUGGAUAAUGAUGUUUUUCAUUUAUUUAAUAUAAUAAAAUGUUUUUUCGAAAACUAAAAACAGAUACACUUUAUUUUUGAAGUAAGAAGAUUUAGGUCUUAUCGUUUGAGGAUUUUGGAUUAAGAAAAGGGGGGAAGAGAGUGGUUCAUUCUAUUCAUUAAAUUGGGUGAUUUUGAAUUUGAAAACGGAAACGUGAACACCGAAAAAGGUUUGGUUGCGUAUAAUUGCGUGUUCCAAUUCAUAAUUGAAUAACAAAAAUGAUGGUGAAGGGAAUCCAGAUUCAGAUAUGUGGAUUGGUAAGUCAACGAUGGAUUCAGAAACCCCGGGCAUUCUCAUCCUUAUCAUUUUCCCCAAUUCCACACCCUAACCCUUAUUCCAAACUGCUUCCCACCAAAACCAUCGUUCGCAGGGUUCGAUUCGCGCCAUUUCACGCUUCCUCGACACCGCUUCCUUCUGCCGGAAAUGUUCGACACAUUAAGUUCUGUCAGUGGUGUGGUGGUUCUACGAAGCAUGAUAUUCCUGAAGGGGAAGAAAAGUUUAGAGCUAUAUGUACGGUUUGUGGGAAGAUUGCGUAUCAGAAUCCGAAGAUGGUAGUUGGCUGCCUCGUUGAACAUGAUAACAAGGUGCUCCUUUGCAAGAGGAAUAUUCAACCAUCUCAUGGCCUUUGGACACUUCCUGCUGGUUAUUUGGAAAUAGGAGAGUCGGCUGUGGAUGGUGCCAUAAGAGAAACAAGGGAGGAAGCAAAUGCAGAUGUGGAAGUAAUUUCACCAUUUGCCCAACUGGAUAUUCCUUUAAUUGGCCAAAUUUAUUUGAUAUUCUUGGCGAAGCUGAAGAAGCCGCAUUUUUCACCUGGUCCAGAAUCAUCAGCAUGCCAACUUUUUCCACUUGACGAUAUACCUUUUAAUUCUCUAUCCUUUUCAUCGAUGGUGGUUACCUUAAGUUUGUAUGUUGAGGAUAUUAAGACCGGAAAACUCAAAUUCCAUUAUGGAACCAUUAACAAAAGGCCGGGUACAAGUCCUUCUGAUAUUCGGGCCUAUACGCUGGAUCAUCAUAUGCAGUCAUGAGUAACGAUAAGGAGGUGAGCCUCAUAUAUAAUAUCCGAGGUCAGAAAAAUAAAUGACGAACAUAAUGAACUAGUGGUGUAUCAGAAGAUUGUAAGUAAAAGGGAAAAAAAAAUCUCUAGUGAGAAAUUGCACGUCUUCUGCAAGAACUUCCGAGUGUUGACUUGUUGAAUUCACCAUUGUCACAAGCUUCUUAAACUCAACAUUGUAACGAGGUAGACUACCACCGUUUCCGUUCCAGUUGACAUGUUACACCAAUGUGCAUCAUUGCCUGCGAAUCCCAACUACUUUUUGGACCUACCAUAUCAAAUUGGUACGCAGUUGCCAUUGCAGAAGAAAGAAUGACAUCUGUUUUGCUAUCUGCUCUGGUAUUGUAAACAUAACAUUCAUCGAGAUUAAUUAAAUUCUUUUUGAGAAUGUACCCCUUUUCUAAAUCAA